rnacentral:rRNA from 1 species
AUGGCGCAUGUAGCCGGUUUGCUCGCCUCGGCUGUGGUCUCAGCGGUGGGCAAUAAGCUGGGUUCUGCCAUUGGGGAUGAGGUCACGAUGCUGUGCAACUUCAAGGACGACCUCAAGGACAUGAAGGACACAUUGCAGUACAUGGAGGCGGCGCUCAAGGAUGCUGAGAGGCGGUCUGUCUCGGAGGAGUUGGUGCGGCUGUGGCUCAACCAGCUCAAGAACGCUGCCUACGACAUCUCUUACAUGCUCGAUGAGUUCCAAGCUAACAGUGAACCAGCCUCCAGAAAGAUGAUUGGGAAGCUGGACUGUUUUGCUAUUGCACCCAAGAUUACCAUGGCUUAUAAGAUGAAGAAGAUGAGAGGUCAGCUGAGGAAGAUCAAAGAGGAUCAUGAGAGUUUCAAAUUCACAUAUGAUAAUUCCAGCCUAAUAAAUGUGCACCAGUUUCCUGAUCCACGGGAAACAACGUCAAAUGUCAUUGAAUCACUCAUCAUAGGGAGAGACAGAGACAUGAUGAAUGCUCUUUCUUUGUUAUCCAAAAACGACAACAACAAAGAAGAUACCAUAGUUCUUCCUAUUUGUGGGCUUGGAGGCAUAGGAAAGACAACUUUGGCACAACUGGUCUUCAAUGAUGCUAAGUUCAAAGAUUAUGAUCAUCGGGUAUGGGUCUAUGUAUCCCAGGUGUUUGACUUGAAAAAAAUAGGGAACUCCAUAAUUUCUCAACUACUGGAAAAAGGAAGCGAGAAUCUUGAUACACUGCAGUUGAUAAGCCAACACCUUAAACAUCUACUUGAAGAUAAGAAGACUCUGCUUGUUUUAGAUGACCUUUGGGAGGCAGAUAACUCCCAACUGAAUCAACUCAAGCUUAUGUUGAAUGUAAGCUCCAAGAUGCAAGUCUUAGUCACAACACGCAACAUAGACAUUGCAAGAAAAUUUUGUACUGUUGAACCAUACAUGUUAGAUCUCUUGGACAAUGACAUGUGCUGGAGAAUAAUCAAGCAAAAUAGUGGCUUUGAGUCUAGAUCUGAUAAAGAGCAAGUUGAACCAGUUGGACAGAAGAUUGCAAGGAAAUGUGGAGGUUUGCCAUUAGCAGCUCAAGCACUUGGAUUCUUGCUAUCUGGAAUGGAUCUUAGUGACUGGAAAGCAAUGUGCAAUAGUGAUAUUUGGGACGAACCAUUUUCUGAUAGUACAGUGUUACCAUCCUUGAAGUUAAGUUACAAUACUUUGACACCAUAUUUGAGGUUAUGCUUUGCAUAUUGUGGCAUCUUUCCUAAAGGUCACAAUAUAAGUAAAGAUGCUCUUAUCCAGCAAUGGAUUUCUCUGGGUUUCAUCGAGCCAUCUAAUAAUUUUUCGGCCAUACAACUUGGCGAGAAGUAUGUUAGGCAAUUCCUUGGGAUGUCUUUUCUUCAGCAUUCAAAAUGGUGCAUGCCAUAUGCAAAAACAAUCUUCACCAUGCACGAUCUGGUGCAUGAUCUCGCAAGAUCGGUCAUUACUGAAGAGUUGGUUGUCUUUGAUACUGAAAUAGCGAGCGGUGCUAGAAGAAAAGAAUACUGCCGCUAUGCGUCUCUUACAAAUUGCAAUAUUUCAGAUUACCUCAAGGCGAGGAAGAUGUCAACUAUUUUCCCACCUAAGUUAAGGGCGAUGCAUUUUACAGAUUGUGAAUAUCAUGGUGGUGCAUUUUCAUUUCCAAAGUGCUUGCGUGUCUUGGAUCUAUCUGGAUGCUCCAUCACAGAGUUUCCAAGCGCUCUAGGACAACUGAAGCAACUGGAGUUUCUUAUUGCUCCGAAGCUGCAAGAUCGGCAAUUUCCCGAGAGUAUUACUCGGCUCUCAAAACUACGUUACCUAAACCUCAAUGGACCAAAUAAAAUUUCUGCAAUACCAAGCUCAGUUGGCAAACUUGGGAGUCUAGCGCAUCUUGACUUAUCUUAUUGUACCAGUGUCGAAGUCAUACCAGAGACUCUUGGAAGCCUACAAAACCUUCAAACGCUCGACCUCUCAGGUUGCGUUCAACUAGAGUCCCUUCCGGAGAGCCUUGGAAGCCUCAAAAACCUUCAAACACUCAACCUCUCACGGUGCCAAAAACUAGAGUCCCUUCCGGAGAGCCUUGGAAACCUCAAAAACCUUCAAACACUCGACCUCUCAUUCUGCAAGAAACUAAAGUCGCUUCGAAAGAGCAUUGGAAGCCUCCAAAACCUUCAAACACUCCACCUCUCACACUGCUUUCAUCUAAAAUCCCUUCCGAAGAGCCUUGGAAGCCUGCAAAACCUUCAAACACUCAACCCCUCAAUGUGCAUUAAUCUAAAGUCCCUUCCAAUGAGCCUUGGAAGGCUAAAAAACCUUCANNNNNUCGACCUAACAUACUGCCAGAAACUAGAGUCCCUUCCGAAGAGCCUUGGAAGCCUCAAAAACCUUCAAACACUCAACCUCAAGAAUUGCGUUCAACUAGAGUCCCUUCCGGAGAGCCUUGGAAGCCUCAAAAACCUUCAAACACUCAACCUCUCACGGUGCCAGAAACUAGAGUCCCUUCCGGAGAGCCUUGGAAGCCUCAAAAACCUUCAAACGCUUACACUCUCAGGCUGCUAUAGGAUAAUGUCCCUUCCGAAGAGCCUUGAAAACCUGAAAAUCAUUGGAAGAGAUUGA